rnacentral:rRNA from 1 species
GACGAACCGUGCGAACGUUAUUCGGAAUCACUGGGCUUAAAGCGCGUGUAGGCGGGGCGGCACGUCGGUCGCUGAAAGCCCCCGGCUCAACCGGGGAACGGGCGCCGAUACGACCGCCCUCGAGGGACGUAGGGGGACCUGGAACUUCCGGUGGAGCGGUGAAAUGCGUUGAGAUCGGAAGGAACGCCCGUGGCGAAAGCGAGGUCCUGGACGUCUGCUGACGCUGAGACGCGAAAGCCAGGGGAGCGGAACGGG